ACGGGGUGCAGCAGGCGCGAAAACUGACCAAUGCGCGAAAGCGUGAGUCGGUCAAUCCGAGUGUAGACCCAUCGGUUUACUUUUGUCAUGUGUACAACGCUUGGCGAAUAAUGUGAGGGCAAGACUGGUGCCAGCCGCCGCGGUAAAACCAGCUCAUAGAGUGGUGAUCAUGAUUAUUUGGCUUAAAGUGUGCGUAGCAGGGAAUUCUAAGUCCUCUGUGACAUGUCAGGUCUUAAGCUUGACACGUGCAGAGGAUACUGGAAUCCUUGGGACUGGGAUAGGUGUAAUGUACGGUUUGGGUAGGGGUGAAAUCCGAUAAUCCAAGCCGGACAACCGGUGGCGAAGGCGUUACACUGGAACAGGUCCGACUGUGAGGCACGAAAGCUAGGGUCGCGAGCCGGAUUAGAUACCCGGGUAGUCCUAUGCUGUAAACGAUGCUCACUAAGUGUUAGGUAAUGCAAGACAUUCUCUAGUGCCGAAGCGAAAGCGUUAAGUGAGCCGCCUGGAAGUACGUUCGCAAGA
rnacentral:rRNA from 1 species